CGAUAGCGGCGCCACUCGAUAGUUUUGAAUGGAAUGAUUUAUAACAUAGAUACUAUCGAUGGUAUAUAAAAGUUUUUCAAAGGCUCAAAACUCAAAAUUGACAAUGAAUGCAAUAAAGUUUGAAAAUCAACGGGUGCAGUACAAGCGCUUAUACCAGGAGACGCAGUUAAAUUCAGAGUCAUCAAAGCUACUGGUGCUACCGGCAGCAAACUUGGGCGAAACUUUGAGGCUAAUUCCAGGCGCACACGAAUAUUUCAAUAUUUCUGACGAACUUGAACGCCUUGGUGAUCCAGGGAACAAUGGUGGAGAAGGAGAGGACGGGGACGACCAGGCUGACGAAGAAAACGAAGAAGAAGCAGCUCCAAAUGAAGAAGAUGGCGACGAGAAUAACGACGAAACAGAAGAAGAAGAUGAUGACGAAGAUGACGAGGACGAAAAUGAGGAGGAAAGCUAUGAAGAACUUCGUCGUCACUAUAUCGACGGGCUACGACUCAACCCCUGUCCGGUCAGCUCCAGAUUGGACAUGCUUGCGCAACUACAACCACUCAUUGGUUCACGUUUACCGAUCGUAGUGACUCAGCGUACACAUCCAACAUUUGAAAUUGGACAUUUUGAGAGGUAUUAUGUGAGUGGGCACGAACCUCUCAUCGGGAGUGACCCAGCAUAUCAACUGUGGACUAGAAUGCGACGAGCUGGAUAUUCAACCGAUCAGUGGCCAGAGUCGACUAGCCAGUUUGGGAGGAUGCAGAUGCUGCCAGCAACUCCAAGUCAGUUUGCUCAGUUUGAGGCUGCUAGACCCCGACGUGUAUUAUCAAGCAGACAGUUUAACACGUAUACCCUCUCGGGACGCCUUGUACCUCAAUCCUGGUACCAUGCCUUGCAACACGCUGCACUGUUGCGGACUACACCUAGAGAGCAGUCGGCAAACCAAUAUUCACCCAUCAGAUAGGAUGUAGCCCGACCACACUUGCAUGGUCCCUAUGAGCCGCUGCUGGCCCAUCGCCUGGCCAAUGCCGUGGAAUAUGGCCUAUUCACUGCUGAAGACGACGACGACGGUCAGACUACACUGUUGAUGAACGACGUCCUAGAUCAGAUAGUAAGACUGCGACCCGAUUUAAUGGAACAACCCAACGAUGAUAACAACGAACCGAUUAAUCCCUUGGACGAGCGUGAAGCGAAUAUAAGAGAAGAGCAGAAGAUGCUCUGGGAAGUUUGUAAGAGUCGCCGCAAUGACAAGUAAUUCAAAGAAUAACUGCAGGAGACAUAAGCUAGACGCCAAAGAAAAAACAAAAUUUUAAAAUUUAUACCUAUAUGUUUCGAUAUUUUCAAAGACAACCCCACGUUAAUUUUAUCUGUAUUAUUCAAAUUUCCAAAAUCUGUCAGUAACUUUGUUUGUCGCGAGAAAAAUGGCGAAGAAUAAUAAAAAUAAUAAUAUAAUAAAUAAUAUAAAUAAAUAAAAUAAAAGUCGAGAUCGAUUCCAAAGCUGACGAAGAUGGUGUCCAGGGAUGCCGAUGAAG